CACAAGAGACCCAAAUUAACUGUAGUACGGCGUAAAGAGUGGUACCAUGCUAUCUCAACAACUAAGAUCAAAGUGCAACUAAGCCGUCAUAAGCCCAAGAUGCAUCUAAAAACACCCUCAAGACGAUCUUAGCACCUUCGACUAAUUAGAUCCCACGAAAGCUAGGACACAAACUGGGAUUAGAUACCCCACUAUGCCUAGCCCUAAAUCUUGAUACUCCCUCCCACUAAAGUAUCCGCCCGAGAACUACGAGCACAAACGCUUAAAACUCUAAGGACUUGGCGGUGCCCCAGAUCCACCUAGAGGAGCCUGUUCUGUAAUCGAUAACCCACGAUACACCCAACCCCCCCUUGCCAAAACAGCCUAUAUACCGCCGUCGCCAGCCCACCUCCCCUGAGAGUCUAACAGUGAGCGAAAUAGCCCCACCUCGCUAGCAAGACAGGUCAAGGUAUAGCCUAUGGGGCGGAAGAAAUGGGCUACAUUUUCUAAGAUAGACAACUUCACGGAAAGGGACAUGAAACCGUCCCCAGAAGGCGGAUUUAGCAGUAAAGCGGGAUAAUAAAGCCCCCUUUAAACCGGCCCUGAGGCACGUACAUACCGCCCGUCACCCUCCUCACAAGCUACAUACACAUGUAACUAACUCCUACUCACCAGCUGAAGACGAGGUAAGUCGUAACAA
rnacentral:rRNA from 1 species